AUUGAACGCUGGCGGCAGGCUUAACACAUGCAAGUCGAGCGGAGUGAUGGUGCUUGCACUAUCACUUAGCGGCGGACGGGUGAGUAAUGCUUAGGAAUCUGCCAUUUAGUGGGGGACAACAUUCCGAAAGGAAUGCUAAUACCGCAUACGUCCUACGGGAGAAAGCAGGGGAUCUUCGGACCUUGCGCUAAAUGAUGAGCCUAAGUCGGAUUAGCUAGUUGGUGGGGUAAAGGCCUACCAAGGCGACGAUCUGUAGCGGGUCUGAGAGGAUGAUCCGCCACACUGGGACUGAGACACGGCCCAGACUCCUACGGGAGGCAGCAGUGGGGAAUAUUGGACAAUGGGCGGAAGCCUGAUCCAGCCAUGCCGCGUGUGUGAAGAAGGCCUUUUGGUUGUAAAGCACUUUAAGCGAGGAGGAGGCUCUUCUAGUUAAUACCUAGGAUGAGUGGACGUUACUCGCAGAAUAAGCACCGGCUAACUCUGUGCCAGCCGCCGCAGUAAGAC
rnacentral:rRNA from 1 species